rnacentral:rRNA from 1 species
GCAUAUCAAUAAGCGGAGGAAAAGAAACCAACAGGGAUUGCCUCAGUAGCGGCGAGUGAAGCGGCAAAAGCUCAAAUUUGAAAUCUGGCGUCUUUGGCGUCCGAGUUGUAAUUUGAAGAAGGUAUCUUUGGGCCCGGCUCUUGUCUAUGUUCCUUGGAACAGGACGUCACAGAGGGUGAGAAUCCCGUGCGAUGAGAUGACCCGGGUCUGUGUAAAGUUCCUUCGACGAGUCGAGUUGUUUGGGAAUGCAGCUCUAAGUGGGUGGUAAAUUCCAUCUAAAGCUAAAUAUUGGCGAGAGACCGAUAGCGAACAAGUACAGUGAUGGAAAGAUGAAAAGAACUUUGAAAAGAGAGUGAAAAAGUACGUGAAAUUGUUGAAAGGGAAGGGCUUGAGAUCAGACUUGGUAUUUUGCAUGUUGCUCUCUCGGGGGCGGCCGCUGCGGUUUACCGGGCCAGCAUCGGUUUGGAGCGGCAGGAUAAUGGCGGAGGAAUGUGGCACGGCUUCUGCUGUGUGUUAUAGCCUCUGACGAUACUGCCAGCCUAGACCGAGGACUGCGG